rnacentral:rRNA from 1 species
AUACGUAGGGUGCGAGCGUUGUCCGGAAUUACUGGGCGUAAAGAGCUCGUAGGUGGUUUGUCGCGUCGUCUGUGAAAUUCCGGGGCUUAACUCCGGGCGUGCAGGCGAUACGGGCAUAACUUGAGUACUGUAGGGGAGACUGGAAUUCCUGGUGUAGCGGUGAAAUGCGCAGAUAUCAGGAGGAACACCGGUGGCGAAGGCGGGUCUCCGGGCAGUAACUGACGCUGAGGUGCGAAAGCAUGGGUAGCGAACAGGAUUAGAUACCCUGGUAGUCCAUGCCGUAAACGGUGGGCGCUAGGUGUAGGGGUCUUCCACGACUUCUGUGCCGUAGCUAACGCAUUAAGCGCCCCGCCUGGGGAGUACGGCCGCAAGGCUAAAACUCAAAGGAAUUGACGGGG